UGGCCUAUCUUGUUGGUCUGUAGGACCGGAGUAAUGAUUAAGAGGGACAGUCGGGGGCAUUCGUAUUUCAUUGUCAGAGGUGAAAUUCUUGGAUUUAUGAAAGACGAACUACUGCGAAAGCAUUUGCCAAGGACGUUUUCAUUAAUCAAGAACGAAAGUUGGGGGCUCCAUUACCCUUAUAUAUCGUCGCUCUCUCCUGUUCCGCGAUGCCGAAUGGCCA
rnacentral:rRNA from 1 species